UGAAUGCUGGCGGCGUGCCUAAUACAUGCAAGUCGAGCGAACAGACGAGGAGCUUGCUCCUCUGACGUUAGCGGCGGACGGGUGAGUAACACGUGGAUAACCUACCUAUAAGACUGGGAUAACUUCGGGAAACCGGAGCUAAUACCGGAUAAUAUAUUGAACCGCAUGGUUCAAUAGUGAAAGACGGUUUUGCUGUCACUUAUAGAUGGAUCCGCGCCGCAUUAGCUAGUUGGUAAGGUAACGGCUUACCAAGGCAACGAUGCGUAGCCGACCUGAGAGGGUGAUCGGCCACACUGGAACUGAGACACGGUCCAGACUCCUACGGGAGGCAGCAGUAGGGAAUCUUCCGCAAUGGGCGAAAGCCUGACGGAGCAACGCCGCGUGAGUGAUGAAGGUCUUCGGAUCGUAAAACUCUGUUAUUAGGGAAGAACAAAUGUGUAAGUAACUAUGCACGUCUUGACGGUACCUAAUCAGAAAGCCACGGCUAACUACGUG
rnacentral:rRNA from 1 species